UACGUAGGGCGCAAGCGUUGUCCGGAAUUAUUGGGCGUAAAGAGCUCGUAGGCGGCUUGUCACGUCGGUUGUGAAAGCCCGGGGCUUAACCCCGGGUCUGCAGUCGAUACGGGCAGGCUAGAGUGUGGUAGGGGAGAUCGGAAUUCCUGGUGUAGCGGUGAAAUGCGCAGAUAUCAGGAGGAACACCGGUGGCGAAGGCGGAUCUCUGGGCCAAUUACUGACGCUGAGGAGCGAAAGCGUGGGGAGCGAACAGG
rnacentral:rRNA from 1 species